AAUGAACGUUGGCGGCGUGGAUUAGGCAUGCAAGUCGAGCGGAAAGGCCCGCAAGGGCACUCGAGCGGCGUAAGGGACAGUAAUGUGUAGGUACGUACCCCUGGGUCUAGGAUAGCUGCGGGAAACUGCAAUUAAUACUAGAUGACGUCUCCGGACCAAAGGUGUGAUUCCACCCAGGGAGCGGCCUACAUCCUAUUAGCUAGUUGGUGAGGUGACGGCUCACCAAGGCGAAGAUGGGUAGCAGGUGUGAGAGCACGACCUGCGUCACUGGGACUGAGACACUGCCCAGACACCUACGGGUGGCUGCAGUCGAGAAUCUUCGGCAAUGGGCGAAAGCCUGACCGAGCGACGCCGCGUGCGGGAUGAAGGCCUGGUGUAA
rnacentral:rRNA from 1 species